rnacentral:rRNA from 1 species
AGUGAACGCUGGCGGCGUGCCUAAUACAUGCAAGUCGAACGGAGAUUAAGUAGCUUGCUAUUUAAUCUUAGUGGCGCACGGGUGAGUAAUAUAUAGCUAACUUGCCCAUUACUAAGGGACAACAGUUGGAAACGACUGCUAAUACCUUAUACUCCGUAUCUAUAUAAGUAGAUACGGGAAAGUUUUUCGGUAAUGGAUAGGGCUAUAUCGUAUCAGCUAGUUGGUAAGGUAAUGGCUUACCAAGGCUAUGACGCGUAACUGGUCUGAGAGGAUGAUCAGUCACACUGGAACUGAGACACGGUCCAGACUCCUACGGGAGGCAGCAGUAGGGAAUAUUGCUCAAUGGGGGAAACCCUGAAGCAGCAACGCCGCGUGGAGGAUGACACUUUUCGGAGCGUAAACUCCUUUUCUUGGGAAAGAAUUAUGACGGUACCCAAGGAAUAAGCACCGGCUAACUCCGUA